rnacentral:rRNA from 1 species
UACGUAGGGGGCAAGCGUUGUCCGGAUUUAUUGGGCGUAAAGAGCGUGUAGGCGGCCAAGCAGGUCCGCUGUGAAAACUCGAGGCUCAACCUCGAGAGGUCGGUGGAAACCGUUUGGCUAGAGUCCGGAAGAGGAGAGUGGAAUUCCCGGUGUAGCGGUGAAAUGCGCAGAUAUCGGGAAGAACACCCGUGGCGAAGGCGGCUCUCUGGGACGGUACUGACGCUGAGACGCGAAAGCGUGGGGAGGCGAACAGG